UCCGGUUGAUCCUGCCGGACCUGACUGCUAUCGGAUUGAUACUAAGCCAUGCGAGUCAUUGUAGCAAUACAAGGCAGACGGCUCAGUAACGCGUAGUCAACCUACCCUAUGGACGGGAAUAACCUCGGGAAACUGAGAAUAAUGCCCGAUAGGACACUAUGCCUGGAAUGGUUUGUGUUCGAAAUGAUUUAUCGCCGUAGGAUGGGACUGCGGCCUAUCAGUUUGUUGGUGAGGUAAUGGCCCACCAAGACUAUUACAGGUACGGGCUCUGAGAGGAGUAGCCCGGAGAUGGGUACUGAGACACGGACCCAGGCCCUAUGGGGCGCAGCAGGCGAGAAAACUUUGCAAUGUGCGAAAGCACGACAAGGUUAAUCCGAGUGGUUUCUGCUAAAGGAACCUUUUGUCAGUCCUAGAAACACUGAUGAAUAAGGGGUGGGCAAGUUCUGGUGUCAGCCGCCGCGGUAAAACCAGCACCUCAAGUGGUCAGGAUGAUUAUUGGGCCUAAAGCAUCCGUAGCCUGCUUUGUUAGUUUUCGGUUAAAUCUGUACGCUUAACGUACAGGCUGCCGGGAAUACUGCAAAGCUAGGGAGUGGGAGAGGUAGACGGUACUCGGUAGGAAGGGGUAAAAUCCUUUGAUCUAUUGAUGACCACCUGUGGCGAAGGCGGUCUACCAGAACACGUCCGACGGUGAGGGAUGAAAGCUGGGGGAGCAAACCGGAUUAGAUACCCGGGUAGUCCCAGCCGUAAACCAUGCAAACUCAGUGAUGCAUUGGCUUGUGGCCAAUGCAGUGUUGCAGGGAAGCCGUUAAGUUUGCCGCCUGGGAAGUACGUACGCAAGUAUGAAACUUAAAGGAAUUGGCGGGGGAGCACCACAAGGGGUGAAGCCUGCGGUUCAAUUGGAGUCAACGCCGGA
rnacentral:rRNA from 1 species